CCUACGGGAGGCAGCAGUGAGGAAUAUUGGUCAAUGGACGAGAGUCUGAACCAGCCAAGUAGCGUGAAGGAUGACUGCCCUAUGGGUUGUAAACUUCUUUUAUAUGGGAAUAACAUGUUCCACGUGUGGGAUUUUGUAUGUACCAUAUGAAUAAGGAUCGGCUAACUCCGUGCCAGCAGCCGCGGUAAUACGGAGGAUCCGAGCGUUAUCCGGAUUUAUUGGGUUUAAAGGGAGCGUAGGUGGAUUGUUAAGUCAGUUGUGAAAGGUUGCGGCUCAACCGUAAAAUUGCAGUUGAAACUGGCAGUCUUGAGUACAGUAGAGGUGGGCGGAAUGCGUGGUGUAGCGGUGAAAUGCUUAGAUAUCACGAAGAACUCCGAUUGCGAAGGCAGCUCACUGGACUGCAACUGACACUGAGGCUCGAAAGUGUGGGUAUCAAACAGGAUUAGAUACCCCUGUAGUC
rnacentral:rRNA from 1 species